rnacentral:rRNA from 1 species
AAAUGUUUAUUCUUACUAUCAGUUUGAAUUAGUGUUAAUUUUAGAGAAAUAUCUUUAAUUUUAGUAUAUUUAAGGAAAUAAUUUUGUUUGUGAUAGUUUAUUAGUACUGUGAAGGAAUAAUUGAUGAAAAAUCUUGAAAAUUUUUAUUUAUAUAAGUAGAUUUUAUUUAUUGUACCUUUNGUAUCAGGGUUGAUUAAAUUUUAUUAAUACUUUUUGAUUUCUCGAUUUCAGAAGAGCUAUAUAAGAAAUAAUUUAUUUGAUGUUGCAUAAUCAUUAAUUAUAUAAGUCAGUAGAGAAAUUCUAUUCGUUUUUAAAGGUAUCUAGUUUUUUAAGAAGUAAAUUUAAUUUAGACUUUUAAUUUAAUUUAUUUAUUUAUACAUUGAUUAUUUUAGGAGUUUAAGAUUUUAGGGGAUAAGCUCUGAUUUUAUUUAUUAAAAAUUUUGAUUAGAAUGAAUCUUUGUAGGGUUAAGAACAUCCAUCAUUAAAGAGUACGUUAUAGUUCAAAUUAUUUCAAGAUGAUUUUCUUUAUUUUAAUAUUUUAUUAAAAUAUUAAAUUUAAUUAUAUUUUUUGAGUAAUAAUGAUUAAAUUAGUAUAAUUUUAUUGUAUUAUAUAUUAUUAUUUGAGAUGAUUAAGUAAGGAACUCGGCAAAUAAGCGCUCGCCUGUUUAACAAAAACAUGUCUUCUUGAUUUAAUUAUAGGAAGUCUGACCUGCCCAGUGGAAAAAUUAUUCAACGGCCGCGGUAUUUUGACCGUGCAAAGGUAGCAUAAUCAUUAGUCUUUUAAUAGAGGGCUGGAAUGAAAGGUUUGACGAGGUGCUGACUGUCUCAUUUAAUUUGAAAUUAAAAUUUAACUUUUCAGUCAAAAGGCUGAAAUAUAUUUGGAAGACGAGAAGACCCUAUAGAGCUUUAUAUUAUAUUUAUUAAUAGUUUUUUGUUAGUAUUAUUUUCUAUUAUUAAAUCAAGUAUUUUGUUGGGGUGACAAAAAUAUAUAAUUAACUUUUUUAUUUAUUUUACAUUGAUUUAUGAUUAUUAGAUCCAAUCUUAUUGAUUGAUAGAACAAGUUACCUUAGGGAUAACAGCGUAAUUUUUCUUCAGAGUUCAUAUUUACAGAGAAGUUUGCGACCUCGAUGUUGGAUUAAGAUAAUAAUUAGGUGUGAGCCCGCUUAAUAUAUAGGUCUGUUCGACCUUUAAAAUCUUACAU